rnacentral:rRNA from 1 species
UACGGAGGGGGCGAGCGUUGUCCGAAGUUACUGGGCGUAAAGCGCGCGUAGGCGGGAGGCCAAGUCCGCUGUGAAAGCCCGGGGCUUAACCCCGGCGGGUCGGUGGAGACUGGUCUUCUUGAAGAUGCUAGGGGGAGAUGGAAUUAUCGGUGUAGCGGUGAAAUGCGUAGAGAUCGAUAGGAACACCAGUGGCGAAGGCGGUCUCCUGGGGCACUCUUGACGCUGGAGGCGCGAAAGCUGGGGGAGCGAACGGG